CACGUAGGGGGCGAGCGUUGUUCGGAAUCAUUGGGCGUAAAGGGCGUGCAGGCGGCCCUGCAAGUCCGGCGUGAAAUGCCCCGGCUCAACCGGGGAGACGCGCUGGAAACUGCGGGGCUGGAGUACAGGAGGGGAUGCCGGAAUUCCAGGUGUAGGGGUGAAAUCUGUAGAUAUCUGGAGGAACACCAAUGGCGAAGGCAGGCAUCUGGCCAUGUACUGACGCUGAGACGCGAAGGUGCGGGGAGCAAACAGGUUUAGAUACCCUGGUAGUCCGCACAGUAAACGAUGUGCACCAGGUGGCGGGGGGUCGACCCCCGGUACCGAAGCUAACGCAUUAAGUGCACCGCCUGGGGAGUAUGCUCGCAAGGGUGAA
rnacentral:rRNA from 1 species